UCAGUUUCACAGCAGCUUUCAAAGGUUCAAAGUUGAAAUCGACCAGAAAUGUUUUUUUUUGUACAACUAAUUAAAGUUUUCACAUAUGCGUGUAAAAAGUGAAUAAAAUAUUUGCUAUUCAGUUAUUCAUCGUCUUCUACGCUGGAUGACAAACUAAUAAUUUACCAAGUCCAUUCGUAAAGUGUGCCAAGUGUUUCUCCAGAAUACAAACAUUAGUAUCCUAAUCUCAUUAGUGAGUUGCUUCAAGCUGCUUUCUUGUGUAUAAUUUGGUCUUUAUUGUUAGACUGAUAAGAAAGCAAAAAAAAAAAAGGAUUUAGAAGAUUGUACAAGCAACCUUCUUACUUGUCUGUGUGUAAAACCUAGCCGUUGUUACCUAGCUCGAACGUCAUUCAAGAUUAAUCUCUCAGUCGAAAUCAAUAUGAGCGAGGGCCAGGAGUCUCCACCGGGUGACAUGGAAGGUGUUCAAUCAACUGAACCACCGGUACCUCCUCUGAUACCGCCAAGGGAGCAUUUGAUUACCACGGCGAUCAAGUUUUUAAACAACCCCAAUGUAAUGCGCAGUGCCAUCACUCAGAAGCAAUCGUUCCUUCGGUCCAAGGGCCUGACAGAGGAGGAGAUACAGCUAGCCUGUGAGCGGGCUGGAGUGUUCACCAAAGACCCAAAUAUCCAAAGCCAAACGGUGAUCAGCAUGGGAGUCGGCACCUCCGGUGUUCCGGCAGGGUACUCAAAGACAAAUUACGUCAUCCAGUCGCGGCAGUCAUGGCUUGGCCGGGUGAAAGACAUGCUCAGCUCGGUGGCGCUCGUCAGUGGGCUGAUGUACGGCGUCUACCUCUUCUAUAAGAAAUUCAUAGAGCCACUAAUUUUCCGAGGCAAGAAGAAAAAACCAGUGGACGAACAGAUUGCUGAACUGAACCAAUCAGUGGAGGUGAAAAUUGAUAGUAUCAAUUUCGAAUUGAUCAAAAUCAAGGACGAACUCGCCCGGGUACAUCAAGCGCAAUCUACUGCUAAGGAACUGACAAGCUUUAAAAGUGAUCUAGAUUCCAUCAAAGGCUUACUAUUAAAUAGGAAACAAUUUGCCUCGCCCAACCUGCCAGUGAUGCCACCCUCUAUCCCUGCGUGGCAGCUACAGUCUCAGUCCCAAGAACGAAUACCCAACAGUGAGGGUGAUACUGAUAAGAAUGACGACAAUGACACCGGUUCCGGAUCCGGUUCCAGCGAAAACGACGUUGUGCUGAAAAACAGCGACAGCAGUUUAGAAAUAAUAUCUUAAGCGUGAAAGAGUGUUGCCAGAUCUUUUGGGAUGGUUUUAGUAGGAAUGGUUUUAAAUUUUGGUGGUUUGGGCGUAGUAGAGUAAGUCGUAAAAUCAAUUCAAUUGAAAGAUUUUUAGUUAGACCCUCUUCCCAUAUUGGUUCCAACAUUUCUUACAGGAGAACCGUUUGCUACUAGAAUAAAUGAAAGUUUCGCUACUAAAUUUAGUACAAAGGGCAUUUAUUUGAUUUGACUGAAAUACAAACGAAUUUUUAUGAGCGAUUCAUCCUGAAUGCAAAUGAAGAAAAAUAAAAUGGUGAAGUAAAUUAAUCAAACUUUAA